CCCUUAGAUGUUCUGGGCGGCCCGCGCACUACAAUGGCGUGUGCAGCGAGUGCCGAAGUAGAGUUUUCCGAGGUAUUCUUGCAAUGCUCGUUUUGAUGGGGAUAGACCCUUGCAACUGUUGGUUUUGAACGAGGAAUUCCUUGUAAGCAUGGUUUAUCAUCCGACGCUGAAUGCGUCCCUGCCCUUUGUACACACCGCCCGUCGCUCCUACCGAUUGAACGGUUUAGUGAGGGCCUUGGAUUGGUCUCGGCCCGCUCUUUACCGGGCGGCGCCGUUGGUCGAGAAGACGCUCGAACUUGAUCGUUUAGAGGAAGUAAAAGUCGUAACA
rnacentral:rRNA from 1 species